AGUGAACGCUGGCGGUAGGCCUAACACAUGCAAGUCGAACGGCAGCACAGUAAGAGCUUGCUCUUACGGGUGGCGAGUGGCGGACGGGUGAGGAAUACAUCGGAAUCUACUUUUUCGUGGGGGAUAACGUAGGGAAACUUACGCUAAUACCGCAUACGACCUACGGGUGAAAGCAGGGGAUCUUCGGACCUUGCGCGAUUGAAUGAGCCGAUGUCGGAUUAGCUAGUUGGCGGGGUAAAGGCCCACCAAGGCGAGGAUCCGUAGCUGGUCUGAGAGGAUGAUCAGCCACACUGGAACUGGGACACGGUCCAGACUCCUACGGGAGGCAGCAGUGGGGAAUAUUGGACAAUGGGCGCAAGCCUGAUCCAGCCAUACCGCGUGGGUUAAGAAGACCUUCGGGUUGUAAAGCCCUUUUGUUGGGAAAGAAAAGCAGCAGGUUAAUACCCCGCUGUUCUGACGGUACCCAAAGAAUAAGCACCGGCUAACUUCGUG
rnacentral:rRNA from 1 species